GCCGCGUGAGUGAAGAAGGUUUUCGGAUCGUAAACUCUGUUGGUAGAGAAGAACGUUGGUGAGAGUGGAAAGCUCAUCAAGUGACGGUAACUACCCAGAAAGGGACGGCUAAAUACGUGCCAGCAGCCGCGG
rnacentral:rRNA from 1 species